GCGGGUAUAGUGUAACGGAUAGCACAUCGGUCUUCGGAACCGCUAGUUUGGGUUCAAAUCCUAAUACCCGCGCCA
rnacentral:tRNA from 1 species